CGCAUACAUAUAAUAGAUAGCUGAGUGGUUCUCUCAUUUUGGAGGGCAACCAUAUUUGACGUGAUCGACCCACCAAGGCUUGUAGGGCAUGGGAGAUGUUGGGAAUUACUCAGUUGCCUCCUGUCGUACCAUCCUGCACCUGGUGUUGCGGUGCUGCACAAGCAAAAAGACACAAAUGACCUGAUCUGUGCUUCGUGGAAUGUUAUUCUUGUUCCAACGUUCGUUGUGAUGUGAUGAGAGCGCAUGCUUCUACAUACAUGGAGAGAUGCUCUGCCUCAGUGAUCCCUUUGUCAUGCUGGUUGAGGGAUUGAGACAGAUCAUGAGAGGUUGAGACGGAUCAUGACGUAUCAUGGUUGCUUAAUCAUACGAGGACUCGUGACAAUUUUAAUUAGACUGCCGAGCAUUUUUGAACAUAAUUAGCAGAAUUGGAGAUGAUUAUUUUUUAGUGAACUAGAUACCAGAUACGAUAC
rnacentral:lncRNA from 1 species